UACGAAGGGGGCGAGCGUUGUUCGGAUUUACUGGGCGUAAAGCGCGCGCAGGCGGUCACGCAGGUCAUCUGUGAAAGCACUCGGCUCAACCGGGAUGUUGCGGGUGAAACCGCGUGACUUGAGGGUGGGAGAGGUCGGUGGAAUUCCCGGUGUAGUGGUGAAAUGCGUAGAGAUCGGGAGGAACACCCGUAGCGAAGGCGGCCGACUGGACCACACCUGACGCUGAGGCGCGAAGGCCAGGGGAGCGAACGGG
rnacentral:rRNA from 1 species